AUUUAUAAAAAAGAAUCAAACUUUGCAUUUUUAUAACAUAUUGGUGCUCAGAAGAAAUAUAUAAUUUCCUAGAUUUAUAAAGUUAUUAACAGAAUGCUGAUGAGGCUUCCAGCAUUGGUUUGCUCCCAUUUUGGUUUUACAUUAUGCAAAGUGACAUACACACCUUCACUAUAUUAAAUUCACAUUUGAAAUUUCUGCUCUUUUAUGUCCUUGUCCUUGAAGUCCAUGUUUGCUGUCCAUGUCGCUUACAUCAAGUACAGCAUCAUGAAAGCAAAUAUCAAAAAAUGUUGUUCGGAAUUGCUUAAUAGUCUUUUUUUUCCAGCACAGACUUGAAGUUGGCUCAUGUUUCUUCAUUAAAUAAUGAGUCUGUAGACUGAUAUGGCACAAGAUAUCUGCCCUGUUCAGAAAGCCAGAAAAAACUUUGAAACUGGAGACAGUUUACAGCUACAGUUAGACUAAGAGAUUAACAUUAUCAAAG